UGCUUGGACUAGUGGUUGAUGCAGUGGAGAUAAUUCCAGAAGUGACUUGUCGUGUUGAGGGUGGAGUAGGGAGAGUAGUGGUUGUUUGCUUUCCUGUUGUUACUUCUGCACUUGUAGACACCAGGGGUGUGCUUGGACUAGUGGUUGAUGCAGUGGAGAAUAAUUCCAGAAGUGACUUGUCGUGUUGAGGGUGGAGUAGGGAGAGUAGUGGUUGUUUGCUUUCCUGUUGUUACUUCUGCACUUGUAGACACCAGG